rnacentral:rRNA from 1 species
CAGUUUGAUUCUGACUGAGAAAUUAACUACAAUACCCACCAAAAUACAUGUAAAACAUAGUUUUCCCGCACCAACUUAAAUCUAAAUGACAUAAUUUAUGUAUUAGUAUAUGCCCAUGCAACAGAGCGCCACAGUAAAUAACACUUCUCAAUUUGAGAAAUCAAGAAAAGAGUAUGGUAUGAGGGCUGGCAAAAUUCGUGCCAGCUGCCGCGGUUAAACGAUAAGCCCAAGUUAAUAAAAUAUAAACUAAAUUAAUGAUAAAUUAAAUAACAACAAAAGUCUAAUUUUUAUGGUCCGAGGUCUAUAUUUAUCAGACAAUAAUGAAAUCAUGAACUAAAACAUGGAUUAGAUACCCAUCUAUUCAUGACAUAAAAUACCAGUUGAAUAUUACGAACAAUAGUUUAAAAUUCAAAGAUUUUGGCGGUGUCUUAUAAAACCAGGGGAACCUGUCUCAUAACUCGAUAAUCCACGUAUACGCAACCUCCUUUAGAUAAUCAGCAUGUGUACUGCCGUUGUAAGCAUACCUUUAAAAGAUAGUAUGCCCCCAUGACUAAAAUCUACCUCAUAUACAUCAGGUCAAAGUGCAGCUAAUGAGGAGGUGAUGAUGGGUUACAACCCCAAAAUGGAUAUCAACUAAGAAAUAAAAAAUCCUACGAAAGUGGACUUGGCCGUAAUCAAUUCAAAGUUAAAAAAAUGAAUAGUACCUAAGACAUGCACACAUCGCCCGUCACUCUACCCCAAAGGCUAGAUAAGUCGUAACAAAGUAGGUGUAAUGGAAAUUGUACCUGU